rnacentral:tRNA from 1 species
GGUGGCUCAGUGAUAGAGUGCUUGCCUUGAAUGCAUGAGGCCCUGGGUUUGAUUCCCCAGCACCA